CCGGAAUAAGUAGCGAAAGCAUGGUGAGAAUCCAUGCCAUCGAAAGUCUAAGGUUUCCUGGGGAAGGUUCGUCCGCCCAGGGUAAGUCGGGACCUAAGGUGAGGCCGAAAGGCGUAGCCGAUGGACAGCAGGUUGAGAUUCCUGCACCACCGAAAUACUUAAAAGAUGUAAGGGACACAGGAGUGGAAGGAAAGCGAGGAAGAGGAAAGACUCGUAUCGAAAGAUAUAGUGAAAAUAGAAAGUAACGAAUUUCCAAGAAGCACACUGGCGAGAAAAGCUUGCAGAUAUUGUAUAGAGGUGCCCGUACCGCAAACCGACACAGGUAGAUGAGGAGAGGAUCCUAAGAUGAGCGAGAGAAGCAUUGUUAAGGAACUCGGCAAAAUGACCCCGUAACUUAGGGAGAAGGGGUACUGGGAUAAAACCCAGUCGCAGAGAAUAGUCCCAAGCAACUGUUUAACAAAAACACAGGUUUCUGCUAAAUCGAAAGAUGAAGUAUAGGAGCUGACACCUGCCCAGUGCUGGAAGGUUAAGGGGAAAUGUCAGGAGUAAUCCGAAGCAUAGAACCAAAGCCCCAGUGAACGGCGGCCGUAACUAUAACGGUCCUAAGGUAGCGAAAUUCCUUGUCAGGUAAGUUCUGACCCGCACGAAAGGUGUAAUGAUUUGGGCACUGUCUCGGCAGCAGACUCGGUGAAAUCUUAGUACCUGUGAAGAUGCAGGUUACCCGCAACUAGACGGAAAGACCCCAUGGAGCUUUACUGUAGUCUGCUAUUGAGUUUCGGUUAAGUAUGCACAGGAUAGGUGGGAGACGAUGAGACUGGUCUUUCGGGAUCAGAGGAGUCACUGUUGGGAUACCACUCUUACUUAAUUGAAAUUCUAACUCUAAGCCGUGAUCCGGCUAGAGGACCGUGGCAGAUGGGCAGUUUGACUGGGGCGGUCGCCUCCCAAAGAGUAACGGAGGCGCACAAAGGUACUCUCAGAAUGGUUGGAAAUCAUUCAACGAGCGCAAACGCAGAAGAGUGCUUGACUGCGAGACAAACAAGUCGAGCAGGGACGAAAGUCGGUGUUAGUGAUCCGGCGGUGCAGAAUGGAAUGGCCGUCGCUUAACGGAUAAAAGCUACCCUGGGGAUAACAGGCUGAUCUCGCCCAAGAGUUCACAUCGACGGCGAGGUUUGGCACCUCGAUGUCGGCUCAUCGCAUCCUGGAGCUGAAGUCGGUUCCAAGGGUUGGGCUGUCCGCCCAUUAAAGCGGUACGCGAGCUGGGUUCAGAACGUCGUGAGACAGUUCGGUCCCUAUCUGUUGUGGGCGUAGGAAAUUUGAGGAGAGCUGUCCUUA
rnacentral:rRNA from 1 species